rnacentral:rRNA from 1 species
GAGCACGUAGGUGGGUUUGUAGGUCAGCUGUGAAAGCCUCCUGCUUAACGGAAGAACAGCAGUUGAAACUACAGUGCUUGAGUGCGGGAGGGGAGAGUGGAACUUCUGGUGGAGCGGUGAAAUGCGUAGAUAUCAGAAGGAACGCCGGCGGCGAAAGCGGCUCUCUGGCCCGUAACUGACGCUGAGUGUGCGAAAGCUAGGGGAGCAAACGGGAUUAGAUACCCCGGUAGUCCUAGCCGUAAACGAUGGGCACUAAGUAGAGGGGUUUU